GUGCCCGUGCCGGACCGGGCCGUGCCGCCCGUUUGGCCACCUAUACCUGGGACGGCGGCGCGGGGGCGAGUGCUGGUGCCCAUUUUAUCUGGUUGGCAUAAAAGAUUUAUUUCCCAAAUGCAUUGUCAGUAAAGAUGAACAUGGCUGAAGAAACACGUGCAGUGUUCAGAAACAGCAUCCCUCAGCCCUAGACAACAGAUACUGUCAAUUCCACAGUGACACAUAAAGACAACUGAAGCAGGACACACAAACAUGACAGACUGAACUAGUUAUUAUCGAGUUAAUCCUGAACUAGUGCUGCCUCUAAACUCUGAACUAUUUAGUCAUCGAGCUACGAUGAUAGGCAUCAUAUCAGUGAUGAUCAAACCACGGCAAAAAGCCAUCGAUGUCAUCGAACUGGUAGAGGCAAGCCAGCUCCAGUGGAUCCAUGAUGUUCAGAGGGAUCGGAGAUAUCCUCAAACAUUUCCUUAGCUAGGAUACAUGGAAUACUGGGUGUAUGUCCGACAUUCCUUCUGGUAGCUCCAGGAGGUAUGCUACCGCUCCAACCUUUUUCAAUACUUGAUAUGGUCCAAUGUAACGAGGUGCCAAUUUUCCUUGUAUCUGAAACCUUCGAGUCCCUCGAAUAGGCGAAACCUUAAGAUAGACAAAGUCUCCCGGCUCAAAGCUUACUUCUCGUCUCUUCUUGUCCGCGUAGCUUUUCUGACGAGACUGGGCGGCUUUCAACUUCUCUCUGAUUUCAGCUACCCUUUCUUCCGCUUCCUUUAUGAAUGCGGGUCCAACUAGUGCACGCUCUCCAACUUCCGACCACAUCAGAGGAGUCCUGCACUUCCUCCCAUAGAGGGCUUCAAAUGGCGACAUGCCCAAGCUUGCUUGAUAACCGUUGUUGUAUGAGAAUUCUGCAUAGGGUAAACUCUGCUCCCAGUCCUUGCCAUAAGUAAGGACGCAUGCUCUUAACAUAUCCUCCAUAAUCUGGUUUACUCUUUCGGUUUGGCCAUCGGUUUGUGGGUGAUAGGCGGAGCUGAAAUCCAAUUUGGUGCCCAUAGCUUUAUGCAAGCUCUUCCAAAACCUAGAGGUGAACUGAGUUCCUCGAUCUGAAACAAUUCUGCUGGGCACACCAUGCAACUUUACUAUGGAGGUCCUGGUGAAGGAUAACUCUUGUAAACUUAGAAGGAUAAUCUGGGUAACUAGACAAGGAUAAAUCUCCCAACCUACGGAAGGAUAAGUCUGUGUCCUACAAAAGGAUAAAUCUAGUAACUUAGAAGGAUAAGUGGAGGUCCUGGUGAAGGAUAACUCUUGUAAACUUAGAAGGAUAAUCUGGGUAACUAGACAAGGAUAAAUCUCCCAACCUACGGAAGGAUAAGUCUCUGUCCUACAAAAGGAUAAAUCUAGUAACUUAGAAGGAUAAGUGGAGGUCCUGGUGAAGGAUAACUCUUGUAAACUUAGAAGGAUAAUCUGGGUAACUAGACAAGGAUAAAUCUCCCAAUCUACGGAAGGAUAAGUCUCUGUCCUACACAAGGAUAAAUCUAGUAACUUAGAAGGAUAAGUGGAGGUCCUGGUGAAGGAUAACUCUUGUAAACUUAGAAGGAUAAUCUGGGUAACUAGACAAGGAUAAAUCUCCCAACCUACAGAAGGAUAAGUCUGUGUCCUACACAAGGAUAAAUCUAGUAACUUAGAAGGAUAAGUGGAGGUCCUGGUGAAGGACAACUCUUGUAAACUUAGAAGGAUAAUCUGGGUAACUAGACAAGGAUAAAUCUCCCAACCUACGGAAGGAUAAGUCUGUGUCCUACACAAGGAUAAAUCUAGUAACUUAGAAGGAUAAGUGGAGGUCCUGGUGAAGGAUAACUCUUGUAAACUUAGAAGGAUAAUCUGGGUAACUAGACAAGGAUAAAUCUCCCAACCUACGGAAGGAUAAGUCUGUGUCCUACACAAGGAUAAAUCUAGUAACUUAGAAGGAUAAGUGGGAGUCCUCCUGAAAGAUAAUCGUAGUAAAUUUCCAACUAUGACGAAGAAGGAUAAUUCGGGCCACUGCAGAAGGCUAAAUCUAAUAAUCUACGCAAGGAUAAGUCUGUGUGCUAGGAAAGGAAUAAGUGGGAGUCCUACAGAAGGAUAAGUUGGAGUCGUACAGAAGGAUAAUUUCAAUGACUGCAGAAGGAUAAAUAUAGUAAUCUUCCAACUCUGUCGACGAAGGAUAAUUCGGGUCACUAAGGAAGGAUAAAUCUUCCAACCAACCCAAGGAUAAGUCUGUGUCCUACAAAAGGAUAAAUCUAGUAACUUAGAAGGAUAAGUAGAGGUCCUCGUGAAGGAUAAAUCUUGUAAACUUAGAAGGAUAAUUUGGGUAACUAGACAAGGAUAAAUCUCCCAACCUACGAAAGGAUAAGGCUGUGUCCUACACAAGGAUAAAUCUGGUAAACUUAGAAGGAUAAGUGGGAGUCCUCCUGAAACAUAAUCGUAGUGGGAGUCCCAUCACCGUUCCUAUUGACCAAGCGAAAGUCGGUUUUGCCUCCUGAAACAUAAUCGUAGUGGAUUUGCCUAUCUCUGAAUCAGAGAUGCAGAUGCUGGUAGCCCGGUUGUUUAGGGUUCUGGCCAUAAACUUUCUGUUAUCUUUCUAAACAAUUUCACGCAUUUUGUAAUUUUCGUAUACCAAGUUUUUUCUAUCUAUCGUUUAAUAAAACUAGCGUCUAAGCUUUUGGCGGGCUUAGAGCAAAACAGGCCAAAAAACAAUGCAAAAUGCUCUCAGCUCAGGUCUAGUUAUCCUUGUUUGUUAUCCUACAUCCAACUUAUCCGUCUCAAGUUAUCCUUCAUCCAGUUAUCCUUGUCUUCAGUUAUCCGCAUCCAGUUAUCCUUGUCUGCCGUUAUCCUUCACAAGCCCCAACAGCGAUGAUAAGUAUAUAAGCCAUCACAGGUCGCAUAAUAGAGCUCACAAGGUCAGGUAAUAUAAGAACCAACAGCGAUGAUAAUAAUAAGUAUAUAAGCCAUCACAGGUCGCAUAAUAGAGCUCACAAGGUCAGGUAAUAUAAGAACCAACAGCGAUGAUAAUAAUAAGUAUAUAAGCCAUCACAGGUUCACGGUAGUAUUUACCACAAAUACCAACAGUUAAAUAGCUGUACACAUUGUUGGCAAAAAAGACCACAGUUCACAUAGCAAAAUACUAAGUGCUAAGAUAGAAAUUCAUCUAGAUAGCUAU
rnacentral:lncRNA from 1 species